AUGUCUUGAUCUUCGAUUUCAGUUAUCACGAUAUUGAUAAGAAUUGUUUAACAGUUUAUUACAAUAUUCUUAUGCUUUGAGUCUGUUUUAAGAACCCUAAUUAUUUUGAACAACGUUUUUACCGGUUCAUCUUCUCUGUUUCCACUAGAUUAGACAGAAGAGAACUAUGAAGUGUCAUUGCAACACAAGGUUAUAAUUCUUACAAGUGUUACCUUAAGGCUGUCAGAGAACUUUGCUCAAAGCAUACUAUAUAUUUAAUGUUUGCGGAUGAAAUACAAAGUGUAUUAAAAUGACUAGGAAGAAUGUUGGCAUGUGACUGGGAAGGUGUACGCCCGAUGUCGUUGUUGGUAAAGGAAGUGUGGCCUAGGGUGAAUCGAUGGUGCAGUGAACGAGACAAUGAAUCCUAGGUUGGUUUAGGGAGCAAAUGCUGGUAAAUGGGGGCAGCAGCCACCGAGGUUGUUUGUGGCAGCGUGUGAGGUGCUUCGAGCUGCAAAUGGUAGUGAAAUAAUGUCGGAUAGUAGGGUUGACGACUGCCAUAAGACACUUGGUCAAUGGUUUCCAAAUUAUUUUGACCAUAUUUCCCCCGGCGAAAAUCAUGUAAAGAGAUCCCUUUCACUGAUGAAGAGCGUGAAAGUAUAAAGUUCAUAAUCCAGAGCAACGUCUAUGGCUACCAAGGCCUAAAACAUAUUCUUAUUGGCUUUUUAAAGCCAUGGUGGCUGGUAAUUCGGAAGAUAUAUUUUCCAGUUGUGACACGUGAAUAUUCACCGGUAGUUGAAGAACUAUGGAAUCAUCCGGCAGUAAAAAUCAAUUUCGUCGUAGAAGGCUCACUUACUGGAUCAUGAUCUUCGCUUUUGUCCAUUUAUUGCUUUCCCAUCUUUCGAGUUUCAAAUCCAUUAUUACCAGCAUCUCUUUGGCUGCAGCUGUCAUGUCCAUCAGGUACCUUACAACCUUACACGUGUAUGCGCAAACGAC
rnacentral:lncRNA from 1 species